rnacentral:lncRNA from 1 species
UAGAGGCUCCCAAGAUGUGCCUUGCAAUGGCUGGGUGAAGCAAGCAGUGACUUUCAGACCCUUGCAGGGAGGACAGGAGGUGGGAGCCAGCUGCCUUUGCUCUCCCAGGGGACAGCCCCAGCUCCCACAGCCAUUAGGCCAGCACUGGAAGAACAUGGUCCGGUGCCAGCCCUGUAGUAGUGCAGGGACUGGCAUUUUCACGCCUGCACCGGCUCUACAAGUUUCAGUAUUGCUGGGUAUUGAGGGGUUCAUGUGGUAGCCCAGUAGGGUGGCUGCCUCACAGAAACGCCAGGGUUAAUCGCGAGGUGAGGCCUGGCACAAGUAACACAGCACAGACCUCUGCUGGCUCGGUCAAGGUGAAUUUCUGGGUGACCCAAAUAAGCAAGAUGAACAAAACGUGGCAUGGGGAGCCAUGGAAAGGCAGCCUGAAGUGCUGCCCCUUGGGCCCAGUGCUGCUCCCAGAGGCCUGCUCUGCCUGCCCCAUGGGACUGGCUCUGGGCUGAGCAGACACCAAGCACCCGCACCCCACCCAAACGCCCUGUGUACAUGAGGUAAAUCCCUGGCAUGGCUUCCUCCACAGCCUGAGGCUCUCAUUGCAACAGCCCUAAUUAACAAUAAACCUCAGAGACAGAGCUCUCACUACUUUAUAUCUGCAAACCCAGAAGUGUUUUCCACAGGAAGUUAACCCCCUUAUUUGUUUCCAGAAGGGCGCUGAGCCACGCUUUUCAAUUAGGCCACAAACCACUUUCUCCCCCUUCACCAGCAGUAACCACCAACGCGCCUGAGGCAAAAAUAACAGCUCCGGCUCCCCUCACUGCUGGUGCUGCUUUAUUGCUCUGUGCCACAUCCUGCCCAGGCCUGUAUCUGGAACAGCCCCGCAGUGGCACAGGGAACAAAUCCUGCCCAUGGUGCUGAGCAAGUGCCCAGGUGUGCUCCCUGCAGCCCUCAGCACCCGAGCUGCUACCCACAGCCAGCUCAGAGCACCAACAGAGGGCCAAACACUGCACGUGACUAUUUCUGACGGACAUGCUAAUUAUUUACAUUGCACUAAAGACCCGGAAAUCCUGCCAGGAGCUGUGAUCCCACUGUGACAGGCGAUGCACAAACAGCACAGCACCACCCUAAAGGCUCUGCAGGCCAAGUAAAUUUGCCUCAAAGACGCACAGCUCUGUUUCUCUGCCCCCGCCAAAGCCUGUUACUUGCACAUCUCUCCACUUCCAUCUCUCUCAAGGUCUUCCCACCCUACACUGACCUGUGCAUCACACUCCAAGCGGCUUUUAGAUAGGUAAGCAGGCUUCCUUGCAGGCACCCAAGUUCUCCAGGACAGGGUGCUUCCCCUGCCCAGGGCCACCCAAGGACUGACACCUCUGCAGGCACAUCCACAGCACUGCCCUGAGGUCCAGGCACAAGUACGAGUCCAACCCAUUAAAGCACCAGGUUUGCACAGCUCUCAAGAGUUUUGCUUUAAGCCCCAGCACUUUAGGUAGAUUUUAUUAACAUUUUAAUGAGUAAUAACAGUCUUGCAAUUAGGAAGUUAAUGACAACCACGCUCUUAAGUGGUAAAAUGCAUUUCCUGCCAUAAGUGAGCAGCUGUAAACUUGAAAUUUUAAUUGAGAAAAAUCAGUGCCAAAGCGAUCUUAAUCCCGCAUAUGAUUUUGUUCUUCCUUCAGCGAUUUCAAGCUAGUUAAAACUCAAAACUUCUCUAGCACACCAGCAUCUCAGCUGCAUGCUGUGCUGGUGGUACACCACGAGCAAACUCCUCGGGCAGCACAGGUUAAGCCUCUGGUGCUGAGCACACAGAAAGGGCCACCAGGUAGCUCAAGGACGGAGUUUGAGAUACGUCCAAGACAGGAGGCAGAGAGAAGAGUAAGGUCUUGCUGAAGUAACAUGGGGGCCUCUCGUCUGCAGUCCUCACAGCAGCACCAAGCUCUGCCUGGGCUCAGCAUGAACCCCAGGAGCUGAACACCAGCACAUUACACAGCGGGACCACAGCUGGCAGGCACUGCAUGCUUCCCUCCACAACACAGCCACCUCCUUGAAAUCAGUGAGGGACAUAAGACCUGGCCAUAGUAAGCCUCUGUGUGCACAAAA